ACCCUGCUUGCAGUUCUAAAGCUGAGCACAUGGGUUCCUAGAUGACCGCUAGCACCUCCGCAAUACUCAGUCCCCAUAGCUCUGUGUGCUUUUAUUGUGUAAAAAAACCGAUUUGAUAAAUAUGCAAAUUAACCUGAGAUGAGUCCUGUACGUGAGAUGAGUCAGGGACAGGACUCAUCUCAGGUUA